GUGAUUCACCCACCUCGGCCUCCCAGAAUGCUGGGAUUACAGGCGUGAGCCACCACCGCCAGCCCUGAGCAUAUUUCAAGUACUUAAUAGCCACAUGGUUAGUAUCUACCACACAGUGCAGGUGGAGCAUACUAUUUGGCACAUGGUAAGUGCUCAGUAAAUACUCACUGCCAUUACCCUUAGGCCCAAGGAGCAGCUCCUUCUCUUUUUUCAGAUGCCAAAUCUGAAGCCAGGCCUGUCAUUUGUUCUGUGCAUGGCCUGUGUAAUGGAUGAGUCCAGGCUCCGCAUGUUCAGGGCCUCUUUGGAAUAUGUCUUAGUCCUUUCUGGGUGCUGUAACAAAAGACCACAAACUGGGUGGCUUAUAAACAACAGAGGGCUAGGCAUGGUGCCUCAUACUUGUAAUCCCAGGACUUUGGGAGGCUGAUGUGGGAGGAUCACUUUAUCCCAGGAGUCUGAGACAAGCCUGGGCAACAUGGAGAGACCCCAUCUCUACAAAAAAAUAAAAAUUAAAAAAUAAGCCCGGUGCGGUGGUGCAUGCCUGUGAUCCUGGUUACUCAGGAGGCUGAGGCAGAAGGACUGCUUAAGCCCAGGAGGUCGAGGCUGCAGUGAGCCGUGAUUAUGCCACUGCACUUUAGCCUGGGCAACAGAGUGAAACCUUGUCUCAAAAAUAAAAUAAAAUAACAGAAAUAAAUUUCUCACAAUUCUGGAAGCUGGGAAGUCCAAGAUGAAGGCACUGGCAGAUUUGGGGUCUGAUAGGGUCCACUCCCUUGUUCAUAGAUGGCGCCUUCUCACUGACCUCACAUGGCAGAAGGGGCAAAAGAGCUCUCUUGGGCCUAUUAUAAGGGGACUAGUUCUAUUCAUGAGGGUUCCACUUUCACAACUUCAUUGCCCCUCAAAAGCCUCCACCUCCUAACACCAUCACCGCAAGGGGUCAGGAUUUCAACAUAUGAAUGGCGGGGGGACACAAACAUUCAGACCAUAGCAGGGAACAAUUUUAUUUAUGUUUUGAGAUAGGGUCUCAUUCUGUUGCUCAGGCUGGAGUACAGUGGCACAAUCACAGUUCACGGCAGCCUCAUACUCCUGGGCUCAAGGGAUCCUCCCGCCUCAGCCUCCUGAGUAGCUGGGACUACAGACAUGCACCAUCACCCCUGGCUAAUUUUGUAAAUUUUUUUUGUAGACAGGGGAUAUUACCAUCUUGCCCAGGCUGGUCGCAAACCCCUGCACUCACAUGAUCCUCCUACCUUGGCCCCUCAAAGUGCUGGGAUUACAGACAUGAGCCACCGCACCCAUCCAGGGUAAAAUUUCACAGUCCCUGAAGGGGCCAUUUUCCAGGAACAUCUUCCUGACCUUUCCCACUGGGAUUCUAGGAAGGCUUUCGGGCUCUCCAGGAUUGUCUUGCCAUGCAUGUGUGUGUAAGGAGCAGGGAUAACAAGCCUUUGUGGAGGGUUAUUCUUUGAAACAAUAACCCAGUACAUCUGUGCAGCAGAAAUAACAAGACUAGCAUGGUCACACUAGUGACUGAUAGCUGUUCCUAUUCACAAGCCAAAUGAGGAGAAAAUAGACAUGGGUGUGGUACAUGUUCCUAAAUUUAAUUCUGUGCUAAUUUCUCAUUCCAUUAAUAACCAGGGUUCUCAUCCUCCCCUAUAGUCAUGUUUUUCAACUACUCUUUAUUGAAAUUGUGCUGCCUGUCAAUCACCAAUGUUAGCUAGGUGGAAUUUGUGGAUGAAUAAGGCUCACGCCCUUCCUGCCCUCAGCAAGCACACAGUCCAGUAGAUAAGACAAAUACAUUAGCAAUUAUGACAAAGCAAAUAUGAGCAGUCCCAUACAAGACAGACAGUCAAAAUGCCAGGAGAGUUCAAAUGAAAGAGCCAUGUUUUCCAAUGAGAGGGCUGGGGAAACCUCAAGAGGCAGGUGGGAUCUGGGGUGGAGGGAACACCCUAAGUGGCAAGAUUAGCAUCCACUCCAUCCCAGAUGUGAGGAAGUUUUGCAGAAUUAAGCAUAGGUACAAUGACAAUAUAGGAGAAGGAAAGUUUGGGGCUAGAUUGCAGGUGGAAAUUGCUGGGUCAUAUGGCAAUUCUGUUUUGCUUUGUUUUAUUUUGUUUUGUUUUUGAGACAGAGUCUCACUCUGUCACCCAGGCUGGAGUGCAGUGGCGCAAUCUUGACUCACUGCAACCUCUGCCUCCCGGGUUCAAGUGAUUCUCCCGCUUCAGCCUCCUGAGUGGCUGAGAUUACAGACGCCCACCACAACGCUCAGCUAAUUUUUGUAUUUUUAGUAGAAAUGGGGUUUCACCAUGUCAGCCAGGCUGGUCUCGAACUUCUGACCUCAAGUGAUCCACUAGCCUCCGCCUCCCAAAGUGCUGGGAUUACAGGUGUGAGCCACCGUGCCUGGUAAUUCUAUUUUUAAUUUUUUGAAGACCCACCAUACUACAUCAUUCCAUAUACCCACCAACACUGUACAAGGGUUCCAGUUUCUCCACAUCCUUGCCAAUCUUUGUUAUGGUGUGUGUGGGGUGUGUGUGUGUGUGUGUGUGUGUUUAUAGUAGCCAUCCUUAAAGGGUGUGUGGUGGUAUGUCAUUGUGGUUUUGAUUUUCACUUCCCUAGUGAUUAGUGAUGUUGAGCAUCUAUUCAUGUGCUUCUUGACCAUUUGUUUACCUUCUUUGAAAAAAUGUCCAAGUCCUUUCUUUGCCCUGUCUUAAUUGGGGUGUUGGUUUGGGUUUUUUGUUGUUGUUGAUGCUAUUGUCAUGACAAUCAUUACUUUGGCAAAUUCCAAGGCAGUUUUCUUGUUUGUUUUUGUUUUUUUGUUUUGUUUUGUUUUGAGACAAGGUCUCUCUCUGUCACCCAGGCUGGAGUGCAGUGGCAAAAUAAUGGCUCACUGCAGCCUUGACCUCCGGGGCUCAAAUGAUCCUCUCACCUCACCCUCUGAGGUAGCUGGGACUACAGGGGCAUGCCACCAUGCCUGACUAAUUUUAUUUUACUUUUCAUUUUUAGUAGAGAUAGAGUCUUGAUAUGUUCCCCAGGCUGCUCUGGAAUUCUUGGACUCAAGCAAUCCUCCUGACUUGGCCUCCCAAAGUGCUGGGAUUACAGGCUCCUAUUCCAAAUCGGAUGAAGCACUGAAAACAAAGCACUUUCACAUCCUUCACCCUGAUCUGUAGCAUAUUCUUCAGAACUCUUAUGAUUUCAAGUGACAGAAACCCAAUCUGAACCAGCUGAAACACUCAGAGGCAUUUAGUAUCUCAUGGAACCCAGUGCCCCAGGGACAGGCGGAAACGCUGACUUGAACAUCUCUUUCUGAGUUUCUCAUCUCAGCGCCUCUCUGCAGAUGUUGAAAUCUUCUUUUUUUCUGCUAACUGGCCUCUGCUUCCCAGGUUCACAGCAAGAAACAUGGCCAUUGGGAUGUCCCAAGCUUUGCAUUUUAUAGCCCAGCUUAGGUCAGGUGGCCACCCCUGUGCCAGUCAACUUGACCGAAUGGAUGGAAAACCUCAACUGAUCAAGCUGGAGUUAAGUGCAUGCAGGGAGCACCUAUGGUAACUGCGGAUGGCAGGGAGGGCAGCCACCUAGAAAAAGGUACUGCUGGCCAGGUAAGACCACAGGUAUCCACAACUACCACCAAUCUGCUGUGAACAGUUCCUCUGAAGUUGUGCAAUAAGCAAGCCGUGUGAUGCUGGUCUUGGUAGAAUAUCUUAUUUCUAAACUCCAAACCAUCAGAUUGGCCUCUACCUCCCCAUUUGCCCUCCUCAGAAGAUCUUGACACCCAAGUUCACCCCAUCCUCUGGAGUCCUGUGGUUUGAAAUACUGACCAUUUGUCCCAAUCCUGGAGCCAAGGUCCCAGCAUGCUCUGUGUCCAAGUUCAGAUUACCACAAAAGCUGGUUGUGAAGACCACAAGUUGUUACCUAUUUGUUUUUUAACCAGUUGUAUAUACAACAUUUGGUGCUUUUCACAACACCACACUACCUCUGUCUUACUGUACUGUUUCUCUCCCUAGCAAGCUACCAACAUUUCCUCUCUCCUCCCUAAAACAUGAAAAAAGGAGAGAGAGAGAGAGAGAGAGACGCAGGUAAUGCCUAUACUCUCAUCUCCUAAGGGGUCCUUGAGACAAUGGAUUCCAAAGAGCAGUUUGGAACAUGAAGAAAACCCCAAUGGGGAGGCCCUGCUCCCAAGUCUCACUAAUUCUGGAUUUAAUUCUCCCCUGUGGGCCAGGUGGUGAAUUAGUGGCCCUCCCACCCUACCUUCUGUUUUCUAUGAUCUCGUCUCAUCUAAUAAAGGCUCCAGAUCUGAAAGUCUCUGAGACCAGAACCUUAGUCCAAUUAAACCCUGCUAAAGCAAACAAACUUGGGAAAGACAAAGAGGUGAAGAGGUUAACAGCAGACAAAACCUCCACUGACAAGCUAAAUUAGCCUUGCCCACCUCAGGAGAAGGUGUAAGGUGGACAGCGGAGACUGCUGGUAGUGAUUAACAUUUGCUCGAAAUUCUAAGGAGCUAAUUUUUUUUCCAAGUUAAAUGUUAACCUGUGAAAAGAGGAACAGUAACUAUGCGAAGAGGAAUGUGAAGAAGAAAACAGAAAGACCAGCCUGCUGGGUGGAUGUCUUCCUCCCAAAGUAGUCGAGACCAGGGAUUCUGAGGAAUAGUUUUCCAUUUAUCCUUCAUCAUCUCCAUUCAACAGGGCCGCUGAGCUCCAGAUGAGCAUGGAAAGAUGGAGGAGCUGCCAAACCUGACUUUGGAGGCCCUGGUCAGGAGCCCGUUGGAGGCCUUCCAGUUUUACACCCUUUGUGAAUUUGUCCGUGGGGUGGGUUUGUUCUGAUGCCAUGAGUAGCUUCCACUGGAAAAGGCACCAUCUCCACCCAACAUUUUAGGUAUGCUGGUGCAUUGGGAGGACAUUCUUGGUGCCAAUAAUCGUCUGAAGAUUCUUUGCUAUCCUUUGGUAGAGGCUCUAUUUACCACAAUGAAGAGUAGAAAGAUUAUGAUGUGAGUGUGUUUUGGUGUGUGUGUGUGUGUGUGUGUAUGUGUGUGACUAUUAGUGAAAACUGCUAGUAGUAUGUCAGUGUGGAGAGAAAUUCAGUCCUCCCGCAAGUGGUGAGGCUCAAUAUUAAGGGACAGAACAUCAGUGAGCACCACAUUAAGGCACUAUUCUCGACAUCUGGGAAGAAGCAAAGAAAAAUGUGUCAUGCCUCUUACCUUUUAGGGACUUAUAAUACAGGAAAGAGAAGACUUGUAUAAAUGGCUAAAAAUAUACUGAGGAGUAUAACUAAUAACUAAUGCAGAGUGUGCUGGUAAAAGGUUGUGUGGGUUCAGGAAUGUCAAAAGUUGCAGCUGCUGUGAAAGCCAAUAUGGCGGGUCCUCAAAAAAUUAAAUGUAGAAUUACCAUAUGACUCGGCAACUCCACUUCCGGGUAUGUUCUUAAAACGAUUGAAAGCAGAGACUCAGACAGAUAAUUGCACACCCAUGUUCACAGCAGCAUUAUUCACAAUCGCCAAAAUGUGGAAGCAACCCAAGUGUCCACUGGCCAAUGAAUGAAUGAGUAAAACAUGCUAUGUAUCAACAGUAGAAUAUUAUUCAACCUUAAAAGGAAACAAAUUCUGGUACGUGUUACAACAUAGAUGAACCUUGAGUGGAAGAAGAAAACAGAAAGAGCAGUCCGCUGGGUGGAUGUCUUCUUCCCAAAGUAGUUGGGAUCAGGAAUGCUGAGAAACAAUUCCCCAUUCAUCCUUCAACAUCUCCAUUCAACAGGGCCACUGAGCUCCAGGAUGAGCAUGGAAGGAUGGAGGAGCUGCCAAGCUUGACCUUGGGGACCCAGGUCAGGAGCCUUCUGGAGACCUUCCAGUUUUAUGCCCUUCGUGAAUUUGUUUGUGGGAUGAACUCUAUGAAGUGAACUAAACCAAUCACACACAAAAAAUAAAACUGUAUGAUUCCACUUA